UACGAAAAAAAGCUAGCGUUAUUCGGAAUUACUAGGCGUAAAGCGCACGUAGGCGGCUUUGUAAGUAAGAGGUGAAAGCCCAGAGCUCAACUCUGGAAUUGCCUUUUAGACUGCAUCGCUUGAAUCAUGGAGAGGUCAGUGGAAUUCCGAGUGUAGAGGUGAAAUUCAUAGAUAUUCGGAAGAACACCAGUGGCGAAGGCGGUUGCCUGGAGCUUUGCUGACGCUGAGGCGCGAAAGCGUGGGGAGCGAUCCGG
rnacentral:rRNA from 1 species